rnacentral:misc_RNA from 1 species
UCUCCGUAGGUGAACCUGCGGAGGGAUCAUUACAGAGUUCUCGCCCUUACGGGUAGAUCUCCCACCCACUUUUAUCGUUACUGUCGUUUCUUUGGCGGGCCGCCGGGUCCCCCGGCCGCCUGCGUCUAAUAGGCGGCGCGCGCCCGCCAGAGGCCUUCAAACUCUGAAUGUUAGUGUCGUCUGAGUACUAUAUAAUAGUUAAAACUUUCAACAACGGAUCUCUUGGUUCUG